GUGGAUGGGACUGGCUUUUAUUUCAAGCCAGGUGUCGGACGGCGCCCAAAUGUCCAGGAACGAUCUGUGCAAAUACAUGCACAGAAUGUUGCUGGACAUUUGGGAUGUUGUAUUUUCAUAGCUUUACAUUAAAAUUAUUUAUUACAAAAUGAAUGUUAGUCCUUUUUAACAUUAAUCUUUGAGCUGUGCCAUUAGAGUUUCCACACUGAGCUGCCCCAACCUUCUAGAAAGCACUCAAGUUUAGCAAGCGUGAUAUGAAAAGGCCCUUGAUGGCCAGAAAAUGAAGAGUCGGCUCCCACUCGAUCUUGUGCAAGAUCCAGUCAGAGGAAGCCGAAGGAAACACAAGAACGACAAAGAAAAGAAAUUUUGAGAAGCUGAUAAAUUAUCUUUAUGUUUAGUUAAUUGUAGAGGGUCCUCUUUAUAAUCUAUCAAUGCUAUAAAAGAGGACGUUGUCUUAAAUGUUCUUGAUCGUUCUGCGUCUUAGAUCCUUGAAGAUAAGUAGAGGUUGGUUCUUAAAGCCCCAAAACGCUCUGUGUGAAACCCUGUUGUGAAUGAUGAUACCCGCGCUCUGCUGUGCGUUCAUUAUUUAUAGCUAGUGCGAAAGUUGAGGUCUUGUAUAACAUUUCAUCGCGAAUAAUUAUUAGCGUGCCUAAUUUGCUACGAUUUUAAAAUAUUCCAUGCACUAAUUUCCAGACAAUAUAGUAGAUUUUGAUAAGCCGUCAAUCAAUAUGCUCGAAUAUGUAGUCUUCCAUCUUCUAAGCGUCCGGAAGUUAUAACUUCAGCAGUCUUAAUGUUAACGUCCUUAGCAUUAUUAAUACUUAUUGCAACGUAUUGCUUAUCUACGAGCCAAAUUUUAAAACCAAAAUAUUUAUAUUCAGAUUUCGUCUAUCUCAUGUACUUUUUGAAAUAUACUGUACUAGAAUUUAGGUAUUAUGAAACAGUUUAAGUGUGUGCAUUUCUGUGUGUAUUUUAAUAUCUCCUUGUUAAAGCAGUCUCUCAAUUUUAUAAUUAACAUAAUUAAUAAUUAUAAUGUUUAAUAUGCAAGACAUUGCUGGCAAUGAGCCAAAUUUUUUACAUUUCUUAAAUAUUUCUCUUUUUCUUCUUUGUCUAUGGUAUUCAAGUUUAGAAUUAUCUUAAUGUGCUUUAUAUGUGCACGUUUUUAUUCCCUAUUAGCUAAAUCGGUCUCUAUCUUCAAUCAUUUUAUGAAGACUAAUCCUUGAAUACUUUAAUAUUAAUGAAUUACCUUAUAUUACUAAGCUGAGCCCGGGUUUCAUCUAUUUUUAUUAAAUUUUUAGAACUAUUUAGAAGCACUUACUCCAUUUUGAAACUAAUAUUCCAACUGUCAACACGUUGAUUGAAAAAUAAUGGUAUGAAAGAUUUUAUAUCUUAUAAAUGACCAGUUAAUUCGAAAAUGACAUAUCGAGAUUGUAUUGGACAAUAUACAAGUGACUGAGAUUACCAUCGCCAGGUGAAGUUUGUGUUGUAUUCCACCGGCAGCAGGGGAUAUCGCCAGGGUGCUAGUAACCAAAAGAGGCUGAGGUCAGACCGACCACCGGCAAUCAGGCAUAUCCUUUCAAAUGUAUUCAAAGAUUGAUGCGCCCAACGCAUCUUAGGAAGAGAUUAGACGGAUGACGUCAUCAGUGGCAGAUUUUAAAACUCGACGAUAAAACUGAUUUCGCCGAUAGCAAGGGACAAAUUAGCUUAAGAACUUGACACCAUGUCAUUUCAAUCAAUGUGUUUCUUUUAAGUGUAUACUUGCAAUAAACAUUUUAUUAAUUGUCAAAAUGUAAUCGUAUGGUAGAUAUCAUUAUGAAAUAAAUUUGAAACGCAACUCUAGCUGUA
rnacentral:lncRNA from 1 species